rnacentral:rRNA from 1 species
GUAAGGAAUAUUGGACAAUGGGCGAAAGCCUGAUCCAGCCAUGCCGCGUGCAGGAAGAAGGCGCUAUGCGUCGUAAACUGCUUUUACACCGGAGAAAACCCCCUUUCGUGAAAGGGGCUGAUAGUAUGGUGAGAAUAAGCAUCGGCUAACUUCGUGCCAGCAGCCGCGGUAAGACGAAGGAUGCAAGCGUUAUCCGGAUUCAUUGGGUUUAAAGGGAGCGUAGGCGGUCUUAUAAGUCAGUGGUGAAAUCUCCUCGCUUAACGAGGAAACUGCCAUUGAUACUGUAGGACUUGAGUAUAGUUGCUGUGGGCGGAAUAUGACAUGUAGUGGUGAAAUACUUAGAGAUGUCAUAGAACACCGAUUGCGAAGGCAGCUCACAAAACUAUAACUGACGCUGAGGCUCGAAAGUGCGGGGAUCAAACAGGAUUAGAAACCCGGGUAGUCC